rnacentral:rRNA from 1 species
GACGAACGCUGGCGGCGUGCCUAAUACAUGCAAGUCGAACGCUGAAGAGAGGAGCUUGCUCUUCUUGGAUGAGUUGCGAACGGGUGAGUAACGCGUAGGUAACCUGCCUUGUAGCGGGGGAUAACUAUUGGAAACGAUAGCUAAUACCGCAUAACAAUGGAUGACACAUGUCAUUUAUUUGAAAGGGGCAAUUGCUCCACUACAAGAUGGACCUGCGUUGUAUUAGCUAGUAGGUGAGGUAAUGGCUCACCUAGGCGACGAUACAUAGCCGACCUGAGAGGGUGAUCGGCCACACUGGGACUGAGACACGGCCCAGACGCCUACGGGAGGCAGCAGUAGGGAAUCUUCGGCAAUGGGGGCAACCCUGACCGAGCAACGCCGCGGGAGUGAAGAAGGGUUUCGGAUCGUAAAGCUCUGUUGUAAGUCAAGAACGGGUGUGAGAGUGGAAAGUUCACACUGUGACGGUAGCUUACCAGAAAGGGACGGCUAACUACGUG